UUAAUUAAGAGUUUGAUCCUGGCUCAGGACGAACGCUGGCGGCACGCUUAACACAUGCAAGUCGAACGAGAGAAGAGGAGCUUGCUUUUCUGAUCUAGUGGCGGACGGGUGAGUAACACGUGAGCAAUCUGCCUUUCAGAGGGGGAUACCGAUUGGAAACGAUCGUUAAUACCGCAUAAUAUAAUUGAACCGCAUGAUUUGAUUAUCAAAGAUUUAUCGCUGAAAGAUGAGCUCGCGUCUGAUUAGCUAGUUGGUAAGGUAACGGCUUACCAAGGCGACGAUCAGUAGCCGGACUGAGAGGUUGAUCGGCCACAUUGGGACUGAGACACGGCCCAGACUCCUACGGGAGGCAGCAGUGGGGAAUAUUGCACAAUGGAGGAAACUCUGAUGCAGCGAUGCCGCGUGAGGGAAGAAGGUUUUAGGAUUGUAAACCUCUGUCUUCAGGGACGAAAAAAGACGGUACCUGAGGAGGAAGCUCCGGCUAACUACGUGCCAGCAGCCGCGGUAAUACGUAGGGAGCGAGCGUUGUCCGGAAUUACUGGGUGUAAAGGGAGCGUAGGCGGGAUCGCAAGUCAGAUGUGAAAACUAUGGGCUUAACCCAUAAACUGCAUUUGAAACUGUGGUUCUUGAGUGAAGUAGAGGUAAGCGGAAUUCCUAGUGUAGCGGUGAAAUGCGUAGAUAUUAGGAGGAACAUCAGUGGCGAAGGCGGCUUACUGGGCUUUAACUGACGCUGAGGCUCGAAAGCGUGGGGAGCAAACAGGAUUAGAUACCCUGGUAGUCCACGCCGUAAACGAUGAUUACUAGGUGUGGGGGGACUGACCCCUUCCGUGCCGCAGCAAACGCAAUAAGUAAUCCACCUGGGGAGUACGACCGCAAGGUUGAAACUCAAAGGAAUUGACGGGGGCCCGCACAAGCAGUGGAGUAUGUGGAUUAAUUCGAAGCAACGCGAAGAACCUUACCAGGUCUUGACAUCGUAUGCAUAGCUCAGAGAUGAGUGAAAUCUCUUCGGAGACAUAUAGACAGGUGGUGCAUGGUUGUCGUCAGCUCGUGUCGUGAGAUGUUGGGUUAAGUCCCGCAACGAGCGCAACCCUUACUGUUAGUUGCUACGCAAGAGCACUCUAGCAGGACUGCCGUUGACAAAACGGAGGAAGGUGGGGAUGACGUCAAAUCAUCAUGCCCCUUAUGACCUGGGCCUCACACGUACUACAAUGGCUGUAAACAGAGGGAUGCAAAGCCGCGAGGUGGAGCGAACCCCUAAAAGCAGUCUUAGUUCGGAUUGUAGGCUGCAACCCGCCUACAUGAAGUCGGAAUUGCUAGUAAUCGCAGAUCAGCAUGCUGCGGUGAAUACGUUCCCGGGCCUUGUACACACCGCCCGUCACGCCAUGGGAGUCGGUAACACCCGAAGCCUGUAGUCUAACCGUAAGGAGGACGCAGUCGAAGGUGGGAUUGAUGACUGGGGUGAAGUCGUAACAAGGUAGCCGUAUCGGAAGGUGCGGCUGGAUCACCUCCUUU
rnacentral:rRNA from 1 species